GGAGAGAUGGCCGAGUGGUUGAUAGCUCCGGUCUUGAAAACCGGUAUAGUUCUUUAGAACUAUCGAGGGUUCGAAUCCCUCUCUCUCCU
rnacentral:tRNA from 1 species